GACGAACGCUGGCGGCGUGCUUAACACAUGCAAGUCGAACGGUGAAGCGCUUUCCUUUUUGGUUGGUGUGGAUGAGUGGCGAACGGGUGAGUAACACGUGAGUAACCUGCCCCCUUCUUCUGGAUAACCGCAUGAAGAUGUGGCUAAUACGGGAUAUUCUGCGCCUGCUGCAUGGUGGGUGUGGGAAAGAUUGUGCCUUUGGGUGUUUUCGGUGGGGGAUGGGCUCGCGGCCUAUCAGCUUGUUGGUGGGGUGAUGGCCUACCAAGGCGGUGACGGGUAGCCGGCCUGAGAGGGUGGACGGUCACACUGGGACUGAGACACGGCCCAGACUCCUACGGGAGGCAGCAGUGGGGAAUAUUGCACAAUGGGCGCAAGCCUGAUGCAGCGACGCCGCGUGAGGGAUGGAGGCCUUCGGGUUGUGAACCUCUUUCGCCAGUGAAGCAGGCCUGCUCCUUGUGGGUGGGUUGACGGUAGCUGGAUAAGAAGCGCCGGCUAACUACGUG
rnacentral:rRNA from 1 species